UUUCCGUAGGCGAACCUGCGGAAGGAUCAUUAUUGUAUAACCAAGCUGCGAGGACUGUCGCUAACCCGACCCUACGUGCACGCCCCAGUGCCCCCACACACCUCCCUCUCACCCCUAUGUGCACCCCCGCGCGGCUCACCCUCUGGCUUGUUAGGAGGUGGGCUUACGUUUUCACAUACACUUUUUAUGCAGUGUUUUAUGUAUCUUUUGUUUUUGCGAUCACGCAAUCGAUACAACUUUCAACAACGGAUCUCUUGGCUCUCGCAUCCAUGAAGAAUG
rnacentral:misc_RNA from 1 species